CUCGCCCCCGAGGAGACAGGGUUCUUCAUUUACCCCCGAAACCUUGACUCUGUCUACCCCUCACUCUGCCUCUUCAGUGGCGCCAGGGGCCCUGGAAGUCACCGGAAACGUGUGUCGGGAGCAGAGAGGAGGGAGCCCGUUGUCUGGAAGCUGCACCUGGAGGACCCUCGGAACCCAAGCCUGGACACAGCACCCUUUUUAGAAGCACCCAGACUUCCGUGGAGUUCCACACCUUUGGCUCCGAACUCCACUGGGGCAGAGAGCACGGGAGACUCGGUGGAGGCCUAACCGCUGGCACCUGGGGCUCAGAGGCUUCUGAC
rnacentral:lncRNA from 9 species